rnacentral:misc_RNA from 1 species
CCAAGAAGAAGCAAUGCCAAAAGGUACGAAUUAGCUUACCCAUCACUUUGAUUCCAAUUCCAAUUCAAUGUUGAGAUCUUAAUCAUCCUUUUUUGAUAUUGUCCCUGGCGUAGGCAAAUGGGUGUUACUUUCUUUUCCUAAGAAAAGAAACAAAAAAUUGUUCAUGGCAAUAUGAUUUUUCUUGGUUGUUUGAACAAAGGGAUAUCUGUCAGAAAUUUUCUAUUUAUUUCUUUAUCUGCUUGAUGUUGUUCAUUAGUGGAGCAAUUGGGAAGUCUCUUUCUGAUCAUUGAAAAUGUUUUGGUUUGGCAUUUUCUUCUUGUUUUUGAUAUAUAAAUUUCUUGUAUACUUUCUUGGAUUGAAUAAAAUCUUAGGUUUUGAUAUGUGGUGAUCAGUAGCACUUAGUGUUUCUUUUUACUAAUCAUCAUCAAAUAAUAAAUCUCCAAAUCCUUCCAGCUAUAAAUUUCUUCGCUACUGCUCCAGGAAUAGGCAUCUAACUUGUCUUCAUUGAUGAUGGAAAGAAUUGUCUUUAGCACUAGGUUUCUAUUCUAGUACAUGCUCUUAAAUUUGUUCUGAUGUAUUUGAUGAUGUUUGUUAAAGGAAAGAAAUGGUUCAAUGCACAAAUGAGUUGAAAUAAUUAAUUAUGAACUGAAAAUUUUUUGUGUUUAUUCAAUCUAUAUUCAUCUUGCUGUUGUAGUUUGCUACUUCACCAGGUCGCUCUGUUUUAAAAAUGAUGUGAUUUUUACUAGUUUUAUAAUUCUUUCUUUCAGCUUUUAGAGCUACUCUUUUGUAUACUUGUCAUGUAUGUAGGACCAACAUUGUUGGUUAUCUCCACUUCAGGUUUAGCAGUUUGUGGUUGUGGAACAUACACAAUAUGAAAAUGGUGCAGGCAGCUAAUAUAACCUCGAUUUUGUAUGAGAAUUAAGAACAAGCUUAGUAGUCUUUAAAUUUAUUUAUAAUGGGAUUCACGCUAGGUCAAAAUUGAAACAAUGAGUGCACGGAUCUUGACACAAGUAUUUGUUCUAAAGAUUGUUAGACAUAGUUAUCAAAGGCUCAAGGC